GUUCAUAAACAUUUGACACCGACUGUCCGGUUGACUGUUGCUGCUGGAAACACAGGCGACUUUCUAAUGCCAUGUUCUGACGAACGCGAGGAACGCAGGAGUGUGCUUCUGGGCUUCCUUUCAAGCAAUGGCCCAGAUCAUCGAAAUUCUCCUGCUGUCCAAAUCCCUUGUUGCUGCUCGACAUCGGCACGCCUGGCUAUCAGCUGCGCCGCCACUGAAUCUUCACGUGUGUUAGGAAGGAGAGCGCCCGGCUUUUCUGACGUCAUUCCUUGCCCGAACCUCGAGCAACGCUGUCGAACGUCAGCGACGGCGUUAUAUGCGAUAACGGAAAGUUUAGAAGAACGCGCCGCUUCCUACCACGCUAGUGGGCACGGAGGUACAAGCAGAAUGAAGGACUCAAAGCGCAUCUUUUUUUGUUGUGCAGGGACAUUGAAGAAAAUCCGGGGCCUGACAAGGCCAUGGUGGAACUAAUUCAGAUGGACAAAGAGACAAAUGAGCGCUGCAUUCGGACCGAAUCUAACCAAUAAAGUAUGUCACAGCCAAUGGCG